rnacentral:rRNA from 1 species
UAGCGGAGGAAAAGAAACCAACCGGGAUUGCCUUAGUAACGGCGAGUGAAGCGGCAAAAGCUCAAAUUUGAAAUCUGGCACCUUCGGUGUCCGAGUUGUAAUUUGAAGAAGUAACUUUGGGGCUGGUCCUUGUCUAUGUUCCUUGGAACAGGACGUCAUAGAGGGUGAGAAUCCCGUGUGGCGAGGAUCCCAGUUCUUUGUAAAGUGCUUUCGACGAGUCGAGUUGUUUGGGAAUGCAGCUCUAAGUGGGUGGUAAAUUCCAUCUAAAGCUAAAUAUUGGCGAGAGACCGAUAGCGAACAAGUACAGUGAUGGAAAGAUGAAAAGAACUUUGAAAAGAGAGUGAAAAAGUACGUGAAAUUGUUGAAAGGGAAGGGCAUUUGAUCAGACAUGGUGUUUUGCGACCCUCGCUCCUUGUGGGUGGGGAUCUCGCAGCUCACUGGGCCAACAUCGGUUUUGGCGGCAGGAUAAAACUUUGGGAAUGUAACUUGUCUUCGGAGAAGUAUUAUAGCCCAAGGCAAUACUGCCAGCCGGGACCGAGGACUGCGACUUUUGUCAAGGAUGUUGGCAUAAUGGUUAUAUGCCGCCCGUC